UAAUAUGAUGAAUUUUUUUUCGUAGUCACUCAAUAUCCCCACAGGGAACACUACACUUACUUACUCAUGUCUUAUUCUCUCACCUGCACUCUUUUCUGCACCAGAAGAAAUGAACCUUAACCUCCUCCAUAUCAUUAUCCCCCAAAGUCUAAUUGUGACCACUCUCACACACAUAUUAUUAUCCCAUAUCCGCUUGAGCUUGUGCAUUUGUUAGUGAAUUACAUUUUUACACAGAUAUAAAUAAUAUAGGGUCAUUUUGAAAAAAAAAAAAGUGUCUUGUAAUGUCUUAAGAUAUCCCUGUGUGGGUGUGAGUGUGUAUCUACAGUAUGUGUGUGAUGGUUAUUGUUGGCUGUGUGCAUGUGUAGAUAUUAAUAAAUUUGACUUUAUUAUGCUCCUGACAGGCUGUGAUUACAUGUUUUUGUCCCUUUUGUUGUCAAUGACGGUGGAUGUUCUUGUUUCCACUGCAGGGGAUGAUGGGAAAAUAAAACAGGUCCGUAAACACUUCCUCCCGUUAUCUCUCCUUGCCUCCCACCCUCCCACUCUCCACCCUCCCUUCGUCUCUGUAGUGAGCCAUGCGGAGGCCGUGUCAUUUAUGGCCUUAAUGAUAUAGAGAUCUAUUUAACACUUUCUCCCCUCAUGUCUUUGUUCUUUGCCUGAGACUUCAGCAGCAGUCAGCGUUUGUUGCAGAUGUGUGAUCACUCAAAUUCAGCCUUUAAAAAUCUGAACAGAGCUCUGCCUUUAUCCGGAGGUGAACUCAAGGAAAUCAAAGCCAGAAAAGCCCCGUUGAGGCAGGUGGUGAUUCAAUAUCUUGCUCAAGGACACUUCAGCAGGGCAGGUGUUUGCUGACACAGAGCAAGGCCUGACAGACCUCCAUCACCACACAAAGUGAGAGGACAUGCGUUAAGUAGCAGCUGAGAGAGAGAUGAAUGCGUCUGAAGAAAAUGGUGCCCAUUUGAACUGAUGGAACUCCAGCAAUCACUGGGAGACAGAUGGGACUUGCUCAGCUCUUAAACCAGCACCAUCCUCACUGAUUUGAUACCACUGCAUGAUUCACCAAAUUGUUCUGUGAGAUAUUUAGAUGUCAAAAGACUUGUGAACUGUCUUGGAGUGAACUGUCCAUAAAAUUGUG